rnacentral:rRNA from 1 species
GAUGAACGCUGGCGGCGUGCUUAACACAUGCAAGUCGAGCGAGUGAGUUCUUCGGAACGAUCUAGCGGCGGACGGGUGAGUAACGCGUGGGUAACCUGCCUUACACAGGGGGAUAACACAGGGAAACUUGUGCUAAUACCGCAUAAGACAACGACAUGGCAUCAUGAUGUAGUCAAAGGAGAAAUCCGGUGUAAGAUGGACCCGCGUCCGAUUAGCUAGUUGGUGAGGUAACGGCUCACCAAGGCGACGAUCGGUAGCCGAGCUGGGAGGUUGAUGGGCCACAUUGGGACUGAGACACGGCCCAGACUCCGACGAGGGGCAGCAGUGGGGAAUAUUGGGCAAUGGAGGAAACUCUGACCCAGCGACGCCGCGUGCGGGAUGAAGGCCUUCGGGUUGUAAACCGCUUUCAGCAGGGAAGAAGCGAAAGUGACGGUACCUGCAGAAGAAGCACCGGCUAACUAUGUGCCAGCCGCCGCAGUAA